rnacentral:tRNA from 1 species
AAACUAUAAUAAUUUAUUUUGAAAAUAAAUUAAAAGAUUUAAUCUUGUAGUUUUG